rnacentral:snRNA from 1 species
GGGUGUGAGAGCAAUCUGGCGGUGACAUCUGUUACCCCAUUGAUCACCAGGGUUGACUCAGCUAAUCUGGCCGUCUAGGAGGGUGUCCCCUUCCUCCCUCACUGUUCCAUGUGCAUCCCUCCCAGAGCUGCACACUAGAUCAAAGAGGACAGCCUUCCUGGAAUAGAGGAGGAACUGGUCUUGAGGUAGGGGUACAGGAAUAGCUGUGCUCCCCUGCUACAACCUCCAAACAAGCUCUCGGAAAUCAAAUGAGCUGGGGCUCUACCACAUCCACCCAAAUCAAUCCUAACUGGCUGCACAACUUCAGUCCUAGCCCAGUCA